AUGAAACAUUUACAUAAUCAGGUUUAUUUGGACAAUGCUAGAAGGAAAUUUAAUAGAACAAACUCAUACAUGUUAAAAAUAACAAUUACUGAAAAUGUCAUGCCCCUGAAAGAUGUUGAACCGGUUCCAGAGUUCGCUCAUUUGAUUAAGACAAUCUGUUCUCUUUACAGGGAAAUGCAGUGGAUCAAAACGAAGAUACGAAUUCCUCUGUGGGAAGGUGGCAUACGAAACAUUUGCAGCUGUGUGGUUUGGGCACCACAUGUUCUGAAGAAAUACACAGUUGGACUGUCUACACUGAAGUGGUGAAUUCCUGAGCUUGUACUACCUGAGAUAACUUCUUGGCUGAAAAGGGCAUCCUUGUCUAUAACUUUGCUCAUGAGAAAGGUGGAGACUUAAGAAGGAGAAGUGGAGGUGGAAAAAGGGAAAAGAAGAAAUGAGGGGAAGCAGCAGAGGAAGGAUGGUAUGCCAAGUUAUUUUCAACUUAGACAAUUUUGGAGGUUUGCCUAAAGGAAAGUAAAAUAAAAUAAAGGCACUAAAACUCA
rnacentral:lncRNA from 1 species